GUAGGGAAUCUUCCACAAUGGACGCAAGUCUGAUGGAGCAACGCCGCGUGAGUGAAGAAGGGUUUCGGCUCGUAAAGCUCUGUUGUUAAAGAAGAACGUGGGUAAGAGUAACUGUUUACCCAGUGACGGUAUUUAACCAGAAAGCCACGGCUAACUACGUGCCUG
rnacentral:rRNA from 1 species